rnacentral:rRNA from 1 species
GAUGAACGCUAGCGGCAGGCCUAAUACAUGCCAGUCGAACGGGAUCCAGAUCAAAGCUUGCUUUGGUUUGGUGAGAGUGGCGUACGGGUGCGUAACGCGUGAGCAACCUACCCUUGUCAGGGGGAUAGCCCGGCGAAAGUCGGAUUAAUACCGCAUGACAUCAUUGAGAGGCAUCUUUCGAUGAUCAAAGAUUUAUCGGACAAGGAUGGGCUCGCGUGACAUUAGCUAGUUGGUAAGGUAACGGCUUACCAAGGCUACGAUGUCUAGGGGCUCUGAGAGGAGAAUCCCCCACACUGGUACUGAGACACGGACCAGACUCCUACGGGAGGCAGCAGUAAGGAAUAUUGGUCAAUGGACGGAAGUCUGAACCAGCCAUGCCGCGUGCAGGAAGACGGCCCUAUGGGUUGUAAACUGCUUUUAUACGGGAACAAACGUCGGUACGUGUACCGGUCUGAGUGUACCGUAAGAAUAAGGAUCGGCUAACUCCGUG